rnacentral:rRNA from 1 species
CUGGGGAGCACCGGUGCAGUGUGUAGAGGGUUUGAUUCUGCUCAGAUUGAACGCUGGCGGGAUGUUUACACAUGCAAGUCGAACGGCAGCACGGACUUCCCGUCUGGUGGCGAGUGGCGAACGGGUGAGUAAUGUAUCGGAACGUGCCUAGUAGCGGGGGAUAAUCACGAAAGCGUAGCUAAUACUGCAUACGGCCCUCGUAAGUUGGGACCUUCUGGCCUCGCAAUCAUUAGAGCGGCCGAUAUCGGAUUAGCUAGUUGGUGGGGUAACGGCUCACCAAGGCGACGAUCCGUAGCUGGUUUGAGAGGACGACCAGCCAUUACUGGGAUCAACAGGCCCAGACUCCUACGAGUGCGGUGGGGAAUUUUGGACAAUGGGGAAACCCUGAUCCAGCCAUCCGCGUGUGCGAUGAAGGCCUUCGCUGUAAAGCACUUUUGGCAGGAAGAAACCAGCACGGGAUAAUACCCGUGCAACUGACGGUACCUGCAGAAUAAGCACCGGCUAACUACGUGCCAGCAGCCGCGGUAAUACGUAGGGCGUGCAAGCGUUAAUCGGAAUUACUGGGCGUAAAGCGUGCAGGCGGCCCGGAAAGAAAGAUGUGAAAUCCCAGAGCUUAACUUUGAACUGCAUUUUUAACUACCGAGCUAGAGUGUCAGAGGGAGGUGGAAUUGGCGUGUAGCAGUGAAAUGCGUAGAUAUGCGAUAACACCUCCGGAUGGCGAAGGCAGCCUCCUGGGAUAACACUGACGCUCAUGCACGAAAGCGUGGGGAGCAAACAGGAUUAGAUACCCUGUAGUCUCACGCCUUCAAACGAUGUCAAAAUUGGUUGUUGGGGCCUUCGGGCCUUUGGUAGCGCAGCUAACGUGAAGUUGACCGCCUGGGGAGUACGGUCGCAAGAUUAAACCCAAAGUGAACAGACGGGACCCGCAAUAAAGCGGUGGAUGAUGUGAUUAAUUGAUGCAACGCGAAAAACCUUACCUACCUUGACAUGUCUGGAAUCCCGAAGAGAUUUGGGAGUGCUCGCAAGAGAACCGGAACACAGGUGCUGCAUGUAUUACGUCGCUCGUGUCGAGAUGUUGGGUUAAGUCCCGCAACGAGCGCAACCCUUGUCAUUAGCUGGCUACGAGCGCACUCUAAUGAGAUCCGCCGGUGACAAACCGGAGGAAGGUGGGGAUGACGUCAAGUCCUCAUGGCUCCCAGGUAGGGCUUCACACGCCCGCGCAUUACCGGGACAGAGGGUCGCCAACCCGCGAGGGGGAGCCAAUCCCAGAAACCUGAUCGUAGUCCGGAUCGCAGUCUGCAACUCGACUGCGUGAAGUCGGAAUCGCUAGUAAUCGCGGAUCAGCAUGUCGCGGUGAAUACGUUCCCGGGUCUUGUACACACCGCCCGUCACACCAUGAGUGGGUUUUACCAGAAGUAGUUAGCCUAACCGUAAGGAGGGCGACGCCACGCAGUAGGAUUCAUGACUGGGGUGAAGUCGCAACAAGGUAA